UCCUCCUCUGCAUCAGGUCUACUUGGCCCCCCAGAGGCCCCUUGCUCCUCCUCUCCAUCAGGUCUAUGCGGCCCCCCAGAGGCCUCUUGCCCCUCUGCAUCAGGCCUAUGUGGCCCCUCAGCGGCCCUCUGCAUCCUUCAAGCCACAGGUCCUGAGUGUCCGUCCGGAGGCCAGUUGGAAGAGGUUCGGGCCCCCUGGGGGACGGUAGCAGGUGCAGCAGGAGUUCUGGGAUGAAUGUCUGGUGUUUUUGAAUAAUAAAAAAAUAAUUUCCA